UACGAAGGGGGCUAGCGUUGCUCGGAAUCACUGGGCGUAAAGGGUGCGUAGGCGGGUUUUUAAGUCAGGGGUGAAAUCCUGGAGCUCAACUCCAGAACUGCCUUUGAUACUGAAGAUCUUGAGUCCGGGAGAGGUGAGUGGAACUGCGAGUGUAGAGGUGAAAUUCGUAGAUAUUCGCAAGAACACCGGUGGCGAAGGCGGCCAACUGGACCAUUACUGACGCUGAGGCGCGAAAGCGUGGGGAGCAAACAGG
rnacentral:rRNA from 1 species